CAGCUCGUACUCUGAAGGAACUCCAUACUGAAUCCUUAUCAGUGAGAGUUCAUCCGGAGUCAGGGAACUGAGGGAUUCUCUCAAGCAAAGUGAAACCUCUGAAGGAGGGGAACGUGUUUAAAUAGACCCCGGGAUCCGACGCACUUAUGAUUUCGGAUCCCCGUUGGCCGAUCUGUAUUCGCCACAUGUCCCACCCACCUUGACAGGCUGUUGGAAACGGCAGGCGGCUGGCAAAGACAUUAUUACACCAUACCUAGAGCCACGUCCUGGCGAGAAUUCCAAAAAGAAGAAAUCUUUUUCAAAAAGACUCCGGUACCAGCAUGCCGAACGUCAAAUAUCUGGCAACCGCCAAGCACGAAAAUCGAGGGAGCAACUUCGGCUGUGAAAAUUUUUUUGUACUUUCUUCAUUCGAAACUCAAACUCAAAAGUAGGGGGACUGG
rnacentral:lncRNA from 1 species